rnacentral:rRNA from 1 species
UACGGAGGAUCCAAGCGUUAUCCGGAUUUAUUGGGUUUAAAGGGUUCGUAGGCGGAAAAUUAAGUCAGUGGUGAAAUCCUACAGCUCAACUGUAGAACUGCCAUUGAUACUGGUUUUCUUGAGUACAAAUGAGGUGGGCGGAAUGUGGCAUGUAGCGGUGAAAUGUAUAGAUAUGCCACAGAACACCAAUUGCGAAGGCAGCUCACUAAAAUGUAACUGACGCUGAGGAACGAAAGCGUGGGGAGCGAACGGG